GCGCUAGUAGCUCAAUGGAUAGAGCACUUGGCUACGAACCAAGAGGUUGUGGGUUCGACUCCUACCUAGCGCGCCA
rnacentral:tRNA from 1 species